rnacentral:rRNA from 1 species
UACGUAGGGGGCAAGCGUUGUCCGGAAUCAUUGGGCGUAAAGCGCGUGUAGGCGGCCUUGUAAGUCCGUUCUGAAAGCCCGGGGCUCAACCCCGGGAGGCGGAUGGAUACUGCAAGGCUCGAGUACGGAAGAGGCGAGUGGAAUUCCCGGUGUAGCGGUGAAAUGCGCAGAUAUCGGGAGGAACACCAAUGGCGAAGGCAGCUCGCUGGGACGUUACUGACGCUGAGACGCGAAAGCGUGGGGAGCAAACAGGAUUAGAAACCCCCGUAGUCC